GAUGAACGCUGGCGGCGUGCCUAAUACAUGCAAGUCGAGCGAACAGACGAGGAGCUUGCUCCUCUGACGUUAGCGGCGGACGGGCGAGUAACACGUGGAUAACCUACCUAUAAGACUGGGAUAACUUCGGGAAACCGGAGCUAAUACCGGAUAAUAUAUUGAACCGCAUGGUUCAAUAGUGAAAGACGGUUUUGCUGUCACUUAUAGAUGGAUCCGCGCCGCAUUAGCUAGUUGGUAAGGUAACGGCUUACCAAGGCAACGAUGCGUAGCCGACCUGAGAGGGUGAUCGGCCACACUGGAACUGAGACACGGUCCAGACUCCUACGGGAGGCAGCAGUAGGGAAUCUUCCGCAAUGGGCGAAAGCUUGACGGAGCAACGCCGCGUGAGUGAUGAAGGUCUUCGGAUCGUAAAACUCUGUUAUUAGGGAAGAACAAAUGUGUAAGUAACUAUGCACGUCUUGACGAUACCUAAUCAGAAAGCCACGGCUAACUACGUG
rnacentral:rRNA from 1 species